rnacentral:rRNA from 1 species
AGAGUUUGAUCAUGGCUCAGAUUGAACGCUGGCGGCAUGCCUUACACAUGCAAGUCGAACGGUAACGGGCCUUCGGGUGCCGACGAGUGGCGAACGGGUGAGUAAUGCAUCGGAACGUACCUUUCAGUGGGGGAUAACGUAGCGAAAGUUACGCUAAUACCGCAUAUUCUGUGAGCAGGAAAGCAGGGGAUCGCAAAACCUUGCGCUGAUUGAGCGGCCGAUGUCAGAUUAGCUAGUUGGUGAGGUAAAGGCUCACCAAGGCGACGAUCUGUAGCGGGUCUGAGAGGAUGAUCCGCCACACUGGAACUGAGACACGGUCCAGACUCCUACGGGAGGCAGCAGUGGGGAAUUUUGGACAAUGGGGACAACCCUGAUCCAGCCAUGCCGCGUGAGUGAAGAAGGCCUUCGGGUUGUAAAGCUCUUUCGGCCGGGAAGAAAUCGCAUGGGUUAAUACCCUGUGCGGAUGACGGUACCGGCAUAAGAAGCACCGGCUAACUACGUG